rnacentral:rRNA from 1 species
GAUCAUUGCACACACAGAGUUGCGGCAAACCCUGCGAGCGAACGUCGUGAUUGUCCCCUUGGCCGGCUUUUUUUUUGGAGGGGGGGCGCGCGCGCACCUGGAGCGAGCGGGUCGCUGCGUCGCGCGCUGGAGCCGGCCAACUCCGAGGGAGUGUCCCUCCCAGACCCCCGAUUGCGCAAUGCGUCAACACUUUGGCUGAGUUAUGGAAAGCGAGCGAGCGAGUAUGUGGGCGGCUCCAGCGGGGUGGCUGGAGCGCUCAUCACGAGUUGUGCAAGUAUGAAAAACAGAAAACCAACUCUCAGCAACGGAUAUCUUGGCUCUUGCAACGAUGAAGAACGCAGCGAAAUGCGAUACGUAGUGUGAAUUGCAGAAUUCCGCGAAUCAUCGAGUCUUUGAACGCAAGUUGCGCCCGAGGCUUGACCAAGGGCAUCCCUGCCAGAGCGUCACCGCGACACCCACCAAUCCGCUCCCGGCUGGCUGGGAGGGAGCGCGACUGAGUGAAACUGGGCAUCCGAAUGGGCGCCACGCCACCCGGGACUUGGGUGUGCCUUGGGUGGGGUGGCGGAUUGGGUUGGCUGAGAUUUUGGAGGGAAUUCGGCCGCCGUGGUGACACAGCCCGCGAUCAGGUGUGCCCCGCGUCUUGGAAACUUCAAAGCGUGGUGCUGUGUCUCCCAGUUGGGUAACGAGGAUUCCAAAGCAGGUCCCGGACUCCCCCGCAUCUCCCUGCCUUGCGCUCGGCGCUCGGAGGGAGGGGGCGAGUGUCCCGAGGUGUUAACGUCACGCAUCAGACCUCUGAUCAGGGAAG